rnacentral:rRNA from 1 species
GUGCAGCAGUCGCGAAUUUUUCUCAAUGGGGGCAACCCUGAAGGAGCGACGCCGCGUGGAGGAUGAAGGCUUUCGGGUUGUAAACUCCUGUCAUUUGAGAACAAGUGUGGGCAAGUAACUACUGCCUACUUGAUAGUAUCAGAAGAGGAAGAGACGGCUAACUCUGUGCCAGCAGCCGCGGUAAUACAGAGGUCUCAAGCGUUGUUCGGAUUCAUUGGGCGUAAAGGGUGCGUAGGUGGCGCGCUAAGUCAGGUGUGAAAUCUCGGGGCUUAACUCCGAAACUGCAUUUGAUACUGGCGUGCUUGAGGACUGGAGAGGAGACUGGAAUUCAUGGUGUAGCAGUGAAAUGCGUAGAGAUCAUGAGGAAGACCAGUGGCGAAGGCGGGCCUCUGGACAGUUCCUGACACUGAGGCACGAAGGCCAGGGGAGCAAACGGGAUUAGAUACCCGUGUAGU